UCCCUGGUGGUCCAGUGGUUAGGACUGGACAAUUUCACUGCCGUGGUCCAGGUUCAAUCCCUGGUUGGGGAA
rnacentral:tRNA from 1 species